UUUGCAGAUCUGCACACAUUGGAAUUUCGCUAACUCCUCCGAAGGCUUUCGUUCGACCGGCACCACAUUUGCGCAGGCCAAUCAACCCCCCAUGGCCAUUAAAAGUUGUACAAAUCAUGACGCUGCACCCCACGGUUUACGUUCUAGGGGGCGCCAAAGAUAACCCAAAAUCCACAUUCUUAAAAGUCUUAUAACUUUUUAUUUUUGUCCUCACUGCCCUCCAAGUUUUCUAGGAUGAUGCAAUGUCCAGCCAUCAACACAUUUGUGAAGGAAUUUUUACUCCCCAAAAGAGCGCCCCCCCAUGGCAGGAGAAAAAAGUCAGUUUUUUCUUGUCCCCUUACAUGAAAAUACACAUUGUUGAGUGUCACGCCUGAACGCUUUGUCAUAUUGACACAAAAAUUGACAAUCAUGUGUAUCUCAAUUAGAUCUACGAAAAAGUCAAAAAGCGCGUAUCUGUAUAAUGUACGGUUAAAGGGCUAUUUCGCAUUUUUUGCCGAUUCGCACACAUUGGAAUGUGGCUAUCUCCUCCUAAGGCUUUCGUCCCACCGAUACCAAAUUUGCUCAGGGCAAUCUACACCCCAUGCCCAUUCAAAGUUGUAAAAAUCAUGACGCUGCACCCCACGGUUUACGUUCUAGGGGGCGCCAAAGAUGACCCAAAAAUCCACAUUCUUAAAAGUCAUUUUGGCCACUGCAGGAGUACAGAGUACUGCAGGAUACACACACAUAUACACACACACACACACACACACACACACUCAGAGUCUGUUUUUUUGCACCUGCAAAAACAUGCUGUUUACAUAUUUGACAAGAAUGCAGAGGCUUCCUUUUGCCUCUGAAAAAAAUCAGAUUUCAAACACAACUUGACUGUUCAUUUCUCCAAAAGACAACCAUGAAGCUCCAUCCAAACCUGAAGCAGAUAGUUGGUGCAUGUGUACAGUAACCUGAGGGGAGUGAGGUGACUAUUUCUGAGGAGAACAUGAGCAGUGAAGAUUCACCUUGGAGCUAGAACAGGGACGUGCACAUGAUUAUACAGGGGUAGGGGCUCAAGUUUUUUCCAGUCAUUUAUACAAUAUGGAAAUUAAUGUGAAAUUAAACCACAAAUAUGUGUGAUGAACUGUUUUUAAAACUUAAACUUCAAAUAAAAAUUGUAAACUUCAAAACAUAUGCAAAUUUUUAACAAAGAACAUAGUAAUUUACCUCUAUUUACAUCAAAAUGCAGGCAAUGGCCCAGGCGUUCUUUGUAAAAUUAUUUACAAAACACUGUAUAGUCUCACAAAUGUCACUUUUUAUUUAUGCCACUACAAAAAAACAUGAUGUAAAUGAUGCAUGAUGUAAAACAUGAUGUAAAAAACUUGUGUAGAUCCUCCUCUAUGUCAGUCCAUGUGUAAUUUUUCCAUAAUUCUUUGUUUUUUGCAGCAUUUUUGUUAGUGUAACUGCAGAUUGUGCUGACAGUCUAUGGCAAAAAAAACAAAAACUGAAAAUGCCUCAACAUGAACCCCUGGUGGUCUCUGAGGGUGAAACCUGCUAACUGCUGCAGCUCUGUCAGCUUCAGUCUCCCAUGCAGAGCUCGGAGCGCAUGUGUGGCUCUGCACCCUUAGCAGCGUUGCUAACUCCUCAGUAAGGAAAGCCUGCUUCAUGUCAGAGUCUCUAAACUCCAGAAGAAGUCGAUAAAAGUCCCUUUCUUUCUAAAAAAAAGUCGUUAGGGGGUCUGAAAAGUAAUUGAAUCUAACAACAAAGUCGCUAGGUUUGCAACUACGUGUCCCAGACUGCAUCCCUGCUGAGAGUCCCUCCCUCCCUUCUCAUGUUGCAGGAAGAACGUAAGCGCCCGCCCCUUGUCAUUCAGUCACCAUAUAAUUUUGGAUUGGUUGUUGUGGUGAAGUUUUCCACCAAUAGGAGAGAUGUUGUGGUGUGUUUUUUUUUUCUUUUGGCAAGCCUUUUCCGCCUGUAAGACCUGUCGCUAAUGUGUGCAUGCUAUGUUUUCCUGUCUCAUACAGCGCGAUCGAGCGCCGAACGUGAUCAAAAUAAGCAGAAAAAAAGUAUCGCGGACAUAAUUUAUCAUAACUCUGGUUUUAUUUGGCCUAUCAACACAAUUUAAAAACUGGUAUAUAGGUUGAGGUCCUCACUUUUGAGAUAAGUUGAAACGGAGAGUUAACGAGGCUCCGUCUUGCAGCUACAUCCGGUUAAAUAUGUCAUGUGACUUGAACGCUGGGGAGCGUCAAUCGAAUCGAAUCAAACCUAACUCUCAGAUGAAUCUUCAAAAUUCACCUCAGAAAUAUGCUUAUUAUUCUUCUCAGAGUACUGCAGGAUACACACACAGACACACACACACACACGCACACACACACACACACACACACACACACACACACACACACUCGGAGUCUGUUUUUUAGCACCUGCAAAAACAUGCUAUUUACAUAUUUGACAAGAAUGCAGAGGCUUCCUUUUGCCCCUGAAAAAAAUCAAAUUUCAAACACAACUUGACUGCUCAUUUCUCCAAAAGACAACCAUGAAGCUCCAUCCAAACCUGAAGCAGGCAGUUGGUGCAUGUGUACAGUAACCUGAGGGGAGUGAGGUGACUGCUUCUGAGGAGAACAUGAGCAGUGAAGAUUCACCUUGGAGCUAGAACAGGGACGUGCACAUGAUAAUACAGGGGCAGGGGCUCAAGUUUUUUCCAGUCGUUUAUACAAUAUGGAAAUUAAUGUGAAAUUAAAAAACAAAGUAUGACUGUCCUGUGUAGGUGACAGUGAUAUCCAAUAGGCUAGGCACUCACGAGGCUGGCUGUGGCAAGUGUAAGUGAAAGCAACACGCACUGGCAGGAAGAACAGCAAACGCAGAUGAAGGAAAAGGGUCUUUGCUGUGAUGGGCGUUACCAGAGAGGGCGAUGGCCAGAGGACACGAAUGGGACGGGGAGGCAGCGCGUUGGGGGGGGGGGGGGGGGGGUGCGACACGGCUCGGGCCCCCCAGUGCCCCAACGGGGCCCUAGUUUGUUAUUAUUAUUUUUCCUCCCCUUUGAACUGGAAAAUGGCCCACUUCCCACUGGCGAAAACUCAUGAAAUUUGGCAGGACGACCGGGCCUGGUGAAAAAUUUGAUAUUCCGAAGUCGCCCAAACAAGAAAAUGCAAAAUGGCUCCAUAGCGCCCCCUAAGGUGAAAAUUCACACUAUUGACUGUCACGCCUGUACGCUUUGUCAAAAUGACACAAAAAUUGACACACACAUGUAUCUCAAUAAGAUCUACAAAAAAGUCAGUGCGGGCGUAUCUGUCAAAUGUACGGUUAAAGGGUUAUUUCGCAUUUUUUGCCGAUCCGCACACAUUGGAAUUUCGCUAACUCCUCCGAAGGCUUUCGUUCCACCGGCACCACAUUUGCUCAGGCCAAUCUACACCCCAUGGCCAUUAAAAGUUAUUCAAAUCAUGACGCUGCACCCCACGGUUUAGGUUCUAGGGGGCGCCAAAGAUAACCCUAAGAACCACAUAUUUAAAAGUCUUAUAACUUUUUAUUUUUGCCCUCACUGGCCUCCAAGUUUUCUAGGAUGAUGCAAUGUCCAGCCAUCAACACAUUUGUGAAGGAAUUUUUACUCCCCAAAAGAGCGCCCCCCCAUGGCAGGAGAAAAAAGUCCAUUUUUUCUUGUCCCCUAAGGUGAAAAUACACAUUGUUGAGUGUAACACCUGUACGCUUUGGCAAAAUGACACAAAAAUUGACACACACAUGUAUCUCAAUAAGAUCUACGAAAAAGUCAAUGCGCGCGUAUCUGUCAAAUGUACGGUUAAAGGGUUAUUCCGCAUUUUUUGCCGAUCCGCACACAUUGGAAUUUCGCUAACUCCUCCGAAGGCUUUCGUUCCACCGGCACCACAUUUGCUCAGGCCAAUCUACACCCCAUGGCCAUUAAAAGUUAUUCAAAUCAUGACGCUGCACCCCACGGUUUAGGUUCUAGGGGGCGCCAAAGAUAACCCUAAGAUCCACAUAUUUAAAAGUCUUAUAACUUUUUAUUUUUGCCCUCACUGGCCUCCAAGUUUUCUAGGAUGAUGCAAUGUCCAGCCAUCAACACAUUUGUGAAGGAAUUUUUACUCCCCAAAAGAGCGCCCCCCCAUGGCAGGAGAAAAAAGUCCAUUUUUUCUUGUCCCCUAAGGUGAAAAUACACAUUGUUGAGUGUAACACCUGUACGCUUUGGCAAAAUGACACAAAAAUUGACACACACAUGUAUCUCAAUAAGAUCUACGAAAAAGUCAAUGCGCGCGUAUCUGUCAAAUGUACGGUUAAAGGGUUAUUCCGCAUUUUUUGCCGAUCCGCACACAUUGGAAUUUCGCUAACUCCUCCGAAGGCUUUCGUUCCACCGGCACCACAUUUGCUCAGGCCAAUCUACACCCCAUGGCCAUUAAAAGUUAUUCAAAUCAUGACGCUGCACCCCACGGUUUAGGUUCUAGGGGGCGCCAAAGAUAACCCUAAAAUCCACAUAUUUAAAAGUCUUAUAACUUUUUAUUUUUGUCCUCACUGGCCUCCAAGUUUUCUAGGAUGAUGCAAUGUCCAGCCAUCAACACAUUUGUGAAGGAAUUUUUACUCCCCAAAAGAGCGCCCCCCCCAUGGCAGGAGAAAAAAGUCAAUUUUUUCUUGUCCCCUAAGGUGGAAAUUCACACUAUUGACUGUCACGCCUGUACGCUUUAUCAUAUUGACACAAAAUUUGACAAUCACAUGUAUCUCAAUAAGAUCUACAAAAAAGUCAAUGCGCGCGUAUCUGUCAAAUGUACGGUUAAAGGGUUAUUCCGCAUUUUUUGCCGAUCCGCACACAUUGGAAUUUCGCUAACUCCUCCGAAGGCUUUCGUUCCACCGGCACCACAUUUGCUCAGGCCAAUCUACACCCCAUGGCCAUUAAAAGUUAUUCAAAUCAUGACGCUGCACCCCACGGUUUAGGUUCUAGGGGGCGCCAAAGAUAACCGUAAAAUCCACAUAUUUAAAAGUCUUAUAACUUUUUAUUUUUGUCCCCACUGGCCUCCAAGUUUUCUAGGAUGAUGCAAUGUCCAGCCAUCAACACAUUUGUGAAGGAAUUUUUACUCGCCAAAAGAGCGCCCCCCCAUGGCAGGAGAAAAAAGUCCAUUUUUUCUUGUCCACUAAGGUGAAAAUACACAUUGUUGAGUGUUACGACUGUAUGUUUUGUCGUUUUGACACAAAAUUUUACAUACACGUGUCUUUCAAUAAGAUCUUCGAAAAAGUCAAUGGCCACGUAUCUGUAAAAUGUACGGUUAAAGGGUUAUUUCGCAUUUUUUGCAGAUUCGCACACAUUGGAAUUUCGCUAACUCCUCCGAAGGCUUUCGUUCCACUGGCACCACAUUUGCUCAGGCCAAUCUACACCCCAUGGCCAUUAAAAGUUAUUCAAAUCAUGACGCUGCACCCCACGGUUUAGGUUCUAGGGGGCGCCAAAGAUAACCCUAAAAUCCACAUAUUUAAAAGUCUUAUAACUUUUUAUUUUUGUCCUCACUGGCCUCCAUGUUUUAUAGGAUGAUGCAAUGUCCAGCCAUCAACACAUUUGUGAAGGAGUUUUUUCUCGUUAAAUGAGCGCCCCCCCAUGGCAGGAGAAUAAAGUCAAGUUUUUCCUGUUCAUCAUUCAAUGGCUCAAACGCACUGCUCUCUCGGCAAAAGCGAAAGGAGGAGCAACUUGCCAUUUGGAUAUAUCUUAGCUGUGUUUGUGCCCUCACUCAUGGUCCAGACUUUUUUCAAAUAGGACAUGGAGUUUUUCUGCAGCGAGCGUUUUGGUAGAAACUGCGCCUCCCGUUCAUUAUAAUGGUAAAUGACCACAAACAAGUGCGCACACCAUCUUUGGACCUUGAGUGUGACGCGAUCGGGUGGGGGAGGCGGUCGUGCUGGGGGCAGCGUGACACGGCUCGGGCCCGCCAGUGCCCCAACGGGGCCCUAGUUGUUUCUUUUUAGGGCCCGAGCGUAGCUGCUAAGCAGCUGCGAGAGCCCUCUUGUUCCUGCAUGUUUCCUUCUUUUGUUAUUAGGGCCCGAGCCAGCUGCAGAGCAGCCGGGCGUAGAGCCCUAUUAUUCCUGUAUAGGUUUUUCUUUCUUCUUUCUUUCUUUCUUUCUUCUUAUUUUUCCUCCCCUUUGAAGGGGAAAAUGGCCCACUUUCCACUGGCGAAAACUCAUGAAAUUUGGCAGGACGACCGGGCCUGGUGAAAAAUUCGAUAUUCUGAAGUCGCCCAAACAAUAAAAUGCAAAAUGGCUCCAUAGCGCCCCCUAAGGUGAAAAUUUACACUAUUGACUGUCACGCCUGUACGCUUUGUCAUAUUGACACAAAAUUUGACAAUCACGUGUAUCUCAAUAAGAUCUACGAAAAAGUCAAUAGGCACGUAUCUGUAAAAUGUACGGUUAAAGGGCUAUUACGCAUUUUUGAUCGAUUCGCACACAUUGGAAUGUGGCUAUCUCCUCCGAAGGCUUUCGUUCCACUGGCACCACAUUUGCUCAGGCCAAUCUACACCCCAUGGCCAUUAAAAGUUAUUCAAAUCAUGACGCUGCACCCCACGGUUUAGGUUCUAGGGGGCGCCAAAGAUAACCCUAAAAUCCACAUAUUUAAAAGUCUUAUAACUUUUUAUUUUUGUCCUCACUGGCCUCCAUGUUUUAUAGGAUGAUGCAAUGUCCAGCCAUCAACACAUUUGUGAAGGAGUUUUUUCUCGUUAAAUGAGCGCCCCCCCAUGGCAGGAGAAUAAAGUCAAGUUUUUCCUGUUCAUCAUUCAAUGGCUCAAACGCACUGCUCUCUCGGCAAAAGCGAAAGGAGGAGCAACUUGCCAUUUGGAUAUAUCUUAGCUGUGUUUGUGCCCUCACUCAUGGUCCAGACUUUUUUCAAAUAGGACAUGGAGUUUUUCUGCAGCGAGCGUUUUGGUAGAAACUGCGCCUCCCGUUCAUUAUAAUGGUAAAUGACCACAAACAAGUGCGCACACCAUCUUUGGACCUUGAGUGUGACGCGAUCGGGUGGGGGAGGCGGUCGUGCUGGGGGCAGCGUGACACGGCUCGGGCCCGCCAGUGCCCCAACGGGGCCCUAGUUGUUUCUUUUUAGGGCCCGAGCGUAGCUGCUAAGCAGCUGCGAGAGCCCUCUUGUUCCUGCAUGUUUCCUUCUUUUGUUAUUAGGGCCCGAGCCAGCUGCAGAGCAGCCGGGCGUAGAGCCCUAUUAUUCCUGUAUAGGUUUUUCUUUCUUCUUUCUUUCUUUCUUUCUUCUUAUUUUUCCUCCCCUUUGAAGGGGAAAAUGGCCCACUUUCCACUGGCGAAAACUCAUGAAAUUUGGCAGGACGACCGGGCCUGGUGAAAAAUUCGAUAUUCUGAAGUCGCCCAAACAAUAAAAUGCAAAAUGGCUCCAUAGCGCCCCCUAAGGUGAAAAUUUACACUAUUGACUGUCACGCCUGUACGCUUUGUCAUAUUGACACAAAAUUUGACACACACAUGUAUCUCAAUAAGAUCUACAAAAAAGUCAGUGCGGGCGUAUCUGUCAAAUGUACGGUUAAAGGGUUAUUUCGCAUUUUUUGCUGAUCCGCACACAUUGGAAUUUCGCUAACUCCUCCGAAGGCUUUCGUUCCACCGGCACCACAUUUGCUCAGGCCAAUCUACACCCCAUGGCCAUUAAAAGUUGUACAAAUCAUGACGCUGCACCCCACAGUUUAGGUUCUAGGGGGCGCCAAAGAUAACCCAAAAAUCCACAUUUUUAAAAGUCUUAUAACUUUUUAUUUUUGUCCUCACUGGCCUCCAAGUUUUCUAGGAUGAUGCAAUGUCCAGCCAUCAACACAUUUGUGAAGGAAUUUUUACUCCCCAAAAGAGCGCCCCCCCAUGGCAAGAGAAAAAAGUCCAUUUUUCUUGUCCCACAAGGUGAAAAUACACAUUGUUGAGUGUCACGCCUGUACGCUUUGUCAUAUUGAAACAAAAUUUGACAAUCACGUGUAUCUCAAUAAGAUCUACGAAAAAGUCAAUAGGCACGUAUCUGUAAAAUGUACGGUUAAAGGGCUAUUACGCAUUUUUGAUCGAUUCGCACACAUUGGAAUGUGGCUAUCUCCUCCUAAAGCUUUCGUUCCACCGGCACCAAAUUUGCUCAGGCCAAUCUACACCCCAUGGCCAUUCAAAGUUGUACAAAUCAUGACGCUGCACCCCACGGUUUACGUUCUAGGGGGCGCCAAAGAUAACCCAAAAAUCCACAUUCUUAAAAGUCCUAUAACUUUUCAUUUUUGUCCUCACUGGCUUCCAGGUUUCCUAGGAUGAUGCAAUGUCUAGCCAUCAACACAUUUGUGAAGGAAUUUUUACUCCUCAAAAGAGCGCCCCCCCAUGGCAGGAGAAAAAGUCAAGUUUUUCCUGCCCAUCGCUCAAUGGCUCAAACACAUGUCAUGUGUUCAAACUCCUCCGAAAGGAGGAGCAACUUGCCAUUUGGAUAUAUCCUAGCUGUGUUUGUGCCCUCACUCAUGGUCCAGACUUUUUUCAAAUAGGACAUGUAGUUUGUCUGCAGCAAGCGUUUUGGUAGAAACUGCGCCUCCCAUUCAUUAUAAUGGUAAAUGACCAGAGACAAGUGCACACACCAUCUUUGGACCUUGAGUGUGACGCUAUCGGGAGGGGUAGGUGGUCGCGCUGGGAGCGGCGCGACACGGCUCGGGCCCGCCAGUGCCCCAACGGGGCCCUAGUUAUUAUUUUUCCUCCCCUUUGAACUGGAAAAUGGCCCACUUCCCACUGGCGAAAACUCAUGAAAUUUGGCAGGACGACCGGGCCUGGUGAAAAAUUUGAUAUUCCGAAGUCGCCCAAACAAGAAAAUGCAAAAUGGCUCCAUAGCGCCCCCUAAGGUGAAAAAUUCACCUGACGCCUGUACGCUUUGUCAAAAUGACACAAAAAUUGACACACACAUGUAUCUCAAUAAGAUCUACAAAAAAGUCAAUGCGCACGUAUCUGUCAAAUGUACGGUUAAAGGGUUAUUGCGCAUUUUUUGCCGAACCGCACACAUUGGAAUUUCGCUAACUCCUCCGAAGGCUUUCGUUCCACCGGCACCACAUUUGCUCAGGCCAAUCUACACCCCAUGGCCAUUAAAAGUUAUUCAAAUCAUGACGCUGCACCCCACGGUUUAGGUUCUAGGGGGCGCCAAAGAUAACACUAAAAUCCACAUAUUUCAAAGUCUUAUAACUUUUUAUUUUUUUCCUCACUGGCCUCCAAGUUUUCUAGGAUGAUGCAAUGUCCAGCCAUCAACACAUUUGUGAAGGAAUUUUUACUCCCCAAAAGAGCGCCCCCCCAUGGCAGGAGAAAAAAGUCCAUUUUUUCUUGUCCCCUAAGGUGAAAAUACACAUUGUUGAGUGUCACGCCUGUACGCUUUGUCAAAAUGACACAAAAAUUGACACACACAUGUAUCUCAAUAAGAUCUACAAAAAAGUCAAUGGGCGCGUAUCUGUCAAAUGUACGGUUAAAGGGUUAUUCCGCAUUUUUUGCCGAUUCGCACACAUUGGAAUUUCGCUAACUCCUCCGAAGGCUUUCGUUCCACCGGCACCACAUUUGCUCAGGCCAAUCUACACCCCAUGGCCAUUAAAAGUUAUUCAAAUCAUGACGCUGCACCCCACGGUUUAGGUUCUAGGGGGCGCCAAAGAUAACACUAAAAUCCACAUAUUUCAAAGUCUUAUAACUUUUUAUUUUUGUCCUCACUGGCCUCCAAGUUUUCUAGGAUGAUGCAAUGUCCAGCCAUCAACACAUUUGUGAAGGAAUUUUUACUCCCCAAAAGAGCGCCCCCCCAUGGCAGGAGAAAAAAGUCCAUUUUUUCUUGUCCCCUAAGGUGAAAAUACACAUUGUUGAGUGUCACGCCUGUACGCUUUGUCAAAAUGACACAAAAAUUGACACACACAUGUAUCUCAAUAAGAUCUACAAAAAAGUCAAUGGGCGCGUAUCUGUCAAAUGUACGGUUAAAGGGUUAUUCCGCAUUUUUUGCCGAUUCGCACACAUUGGAAUUUCGCUAACUCCUCCAAAGGCUUUCGUUCCACCGGCACCACAUUUGCUCAGGCCAAAUUACACCCCAUGGCCAUUAAAAGUUAUUCAAAUCAUGACGCUGCACCCCACGGUUUACGUUCUAGGGGGCGCCAAAGAUAACCCAAAAAUCCAAAUUUUUAAAAGUCUUAUAACUUUUUAUUUUUGUCCUCACUGGCCUCCAAGUUUUCUAGGAUGAUGCAAUGUCCAGCCAUCAACACAUUUGUGAAGGAAUUUUUACUCCCUAAAAGAGCGCCCCCCCAUGGCAGGAGAAAAAAGUCCAUUUUUUCUUGUCCCCUAAGGUGAAAAUACACAUUGUUGAGUGUAACACCUGUACGCUUUGGCAAAAUGACACAAAAAUUGACACACACAUGUAUCUCAAUAAGAUCUACAAAAAAGUCAAUGCGCGCGUAUCUGUCAAAUGUACGUUUAAAGGGCUAUUUUGCAUUUUUUGCCGAUUCGCACACAUUGGAAUGUGGCUAACUCCUCCUAAGGCUUUCGUCCCACUGACACCAAAUUUGCUCAGGCCAUUCUACACCCCAUGGCCAUUCAAAGUUGUAAAAAUCAUGACGCUGCACCCCACGGUUUACGUUCUAGGGGGCGCCAAAGAUGACCCAAAAAUCCACAUUCUUAAAGGAAUCCACAUCCCCCCCAAGGCAGGAGAAAAAGUCAAGUUAACCCUGCCCAUCGCUCAAUGGCUCAAUCGCAUCGCUCUCCAGGCAACACCGUAAGGAGGAGCAACCUGCCAUUUCGAUAUAUCAUAGCUGUGUUUGUGCCCUCACUCAUGGUCCAGACUUUUUUCAAAUAGGACAUGAAGUUUGUCUGCAGCGAGUGUUUUGGUAGAAACUGCGCCUCCCAUUCAUUAUAAUGGGAAAUGACCACAGACAAGUGCGCACACCAUCUUUGGACCUUGAGUGUGACGCGAUCGGGAGGGGGAGGCGGUCGCGCUAGGGGCGGCGCGACGCGGCUCGGGCCCGACAGUGCCCCACCGGGGCCCUAGUUAGGGCCCGAGCGUAGCUGCUAAGCAGCUGCGAGAGCCCUCUUGUUCCUGUAGUUUCCUUCUUUUGUUAUUAUUAUUAUUAUUUUUCCUCCCCUUUGAACUGGAAAAUGGCCCACUUCCCACUGGCGAAAACUCAUGAAAUUUGGCAGGACGACCGGGCCUGGUGAAAAAUUUGAUAUUCCGAAGUCGCCCAAACAAGAAAAUGCAAAAUGGCUCCAUAGCGCCCCCUAAGGUGAAAAUUCACACUAUUCACUGUCACGCCGGUACGCUUUGUCAAAAUGACACAAAAAUUGACACACACAUGUAUCUCAAUAAGAUCUACAAAAAAGUCAGUGCGGGCGUAUCUGUCAAAUGUACGGUUAAAGGGUUAUUUCGCAUUUUUUGCCGAUCCGCACACAUUGGAAUUUCGCUAACUCCUCCGAAGGCUUUCGUUCCACCGGCACCACAUUUGCUCAGGCCAAUCUACACCCCAUGGCCAUUAAAAGUUAUUCAAAUCAUGACGCUGCACCCCACGGUUUAGGUUCUAGGGGGCGCCAAAGAUAACCCUAAGAUCCACAUAUUUAAAAGUCUUAUAACUUUUUAUUUUUGCCCUCACUGGCCUCCAAGUUUUCUAGGAUGAUGCAAUGUCCAGCCAUCAACACAUUUGUGAAGGAAUUUUUACUCCCCAAAAGAGCGCCCCCCAUGGCAGGAGAAAAAAGUCCAUUUUUUCUUGUCCCCUAAGGUGAAAAUACACAUUGUUGAGUGUAACACCUGUACGCUUUGGCAAAAUGACACAAAAAUUGACACACACAUGUAUCUCAAUAAGAUCUACAAAAAAGUCAAUGCGCGCGUAUCUGUCAAAUGUACGUUUAAAGGGCUAUUUUGCAUUUUUUGCCGAUUCGCACACAUUGGAAUGUGGCUAACUCCUCCUAAGGCUUUCGUCCCACUGACACCAAAUUUGCUCAGGCCAAUCUACACCCCAUGGCCAUUCAAAGUUGUAAAAAUCAUGACGCUGCACCCCACGGUUUACGUUCUAGGGGGCGCCAAAGAUGACCCAAAAAUCCACAUUCUUAAAGGAAUCCACAUCCCCCCCAAGGCAGGAGAAAAAGUCAAGUUAACCCUGCCCAUCGCUCAAUGGCUCAAUCGCAUCGCUCUCCAGGCAACACCGUAAGGAGGAGCAACCUGCCAUUUCGAUAUAUCAUAGCUGUGUUUGUGCCCUCACUCAUGGUCCAGACUUUUUUCAAAUAGGACAUGAAGUUUGUCUGCAGCGAGUGUUUUGGUAGAAACUGCGCCUCCCAUUCAUUAUAAUGGGAAAUGACCACAGACAAGUGCGCACACCAUCUUUGGACCUUGAGUGUGACGCGAUCGGGAGGGGGAGGCGGUCGCGCUAGGGGCGGCGCGACGCGGCUCGGGCCCGACAGUGCCCCACCGGGGCCCUAGUUAGGGCCCGAGCGUAGCUGCUAAGCAGCUGCGAGAGCCCUCUUGUUCCUGUAGUUUCCUUCUUUUGUUAUUAUUAUUAUUAUUUUUCCUCCCCUUUGAACUGGAAAAUGGCCCACUUCCCACUGGCGAAAACUCAUGAAAUUUGGCAGGACGACCGGGCCUGGUGAAAAAUUUGAUAUUCCGAAGUCGCCCAAACAAGAAAAUGCAAAAUGGCUCCAUAGCGCCCCCUAAGGUGAAAAUUCACACUAUUCACUGUCACGCCGGUACGCUUUGUCAAAAUGACACAAAAAUUGACACACACAUGUAUCUCAAUAAGAUCUACAAAAAAGUCAGUGCGGGCGUAUCUGUCAAAUGUACGGUUAAAGGGUUAUUUCGCAUUUUUUGCCGAUCCGCACACAUUGGAAUUUCGCUAACUCCUCCGAAGGCUUUCGUUCCACCGGCACCACAUUUGCUCAGGCCAAUCUACACCCCAUGGCCAUUAAAAGUUAUUCAAAUCAUGACGCUGCACCCCACGGUUUAGGUUCUAGGGGGCGCCAAAGAUAACCCUAAGAUCCACAUAUUUAAAAGUCUUAUAACUUUUUAUUUUUGCCCUCACUGGCCUCCAAGUUUUCUAGGAUGAUGCAAUGUCCAGCCAUCAACACAUUUGUGAAGGAAUUUUUACUCCCCAAAAGAGCGCCCCCCCAUGGCAGGAGAAAAAAGUCCAUUUUUUCUUGUCCCCUAAGGUGAAAAUACACAUUGUUGAGUGUAACACCUGUACGCUUUGGCAAAAUGACACAAAAAUUGACACACACAUGUAUCUCAAUAAGAUCUACGAAAAAGUCAAUGCGCGCGUAUCUGUCAAAUGUACGGUUAAAGGGUUAUUCCGCAUUUUUUGCCGAUCCGCACACAUUGGAAUUUCGCUAACUCCUCCGAAGGCUUUCGUUCCACCGGCACCACAUUUGCUCAGGCUAAUCUACACCCCAUGGCCAUUAAAAGUUAUUCAAAUCAUGACGCUGCACCCCACGGUUUAGGUUCUAGGGGGAGCCAAAGAUAACCGUAAAAUCCACAUAUUUAAAAGUCUUAUAACUUUUUAUUUUUGUCCCCACUGGCCUCCAAGUUUUCUAGGAUGAUGCAAUGUCCAGCCAUCAACACAUUUGUGAAGGAAUUUUUACUCGGCAAAAGAGCGCCCCCCAUGGCAGGAGAAAAAAGUCAAUUUUUUCUUGUCCACUAAGGUGAAAAUACACAUUGUUGAGUGCUACGCCUGUAUGUUUUGUCGUAUUGACACAAAAUUUUACAUACACGUGUAUUUACAUAAGAUCUUCGAAAAAGUCAAUGGCCACGUAUCUGUAAAAUGUACGGUUAAAGGGUUAUUUCGCAUUUUUUGCAGAUUCGCACACAUUGGAAUUUCGCUAAUUCCUCCGAAGGCUUUCGUUCCACUGGCACCACAUUUGCUCAGGCCAAUCUACACCCCAUGGCCAUUAAAAGUUAUUCAAAUCAUGACGCUGCACCCCACGGUUUAGGUUCUAGGGGGCGCCAAAUAUAACGCUAAAAUCCACAUAUUUAAAAGUCUUAUAACUUUUUAUUUUUGUCCUCACUGGCCUCCAUGUUUUCUAGGAUGAUGCAAUGUCCAGCCAUCAACACAUUUGUGAAGGAGUUUUUUCUCUUUAAAAGAGCGCCCCCCAUGGCAGGAGAAUAAAGUCAAGUUUUUCCUGUUCAUCAUUCAAUGGCUCAAACGCACUGCUCUCUCGGCAAAAGCGAAAGGAGGAGCAACUUGCCAUUUGGAUAUAUCUUAGCUGUGUUUGUGCCCUCACUCAUGGUCCAGACUUUUUUCAAAUAGGACAUGGAGUUUUUCUGCAGCGAGCGUUUUGGUAGAAACUGCGCCUCCCGUUCAUUAUAAUGGUAAAUGACCACAAACAAGUGCGCACACCAUCUUUGGACCUUGAGUGUGACGCGAUCGGGUGGGGGAGGCGGUCGCGCUGGGGGCGGCGUGACACGGCUCGGGCCCGCCAGUGCCCCAACGGGGCCCUAGUUUCUUCUUUUUCCUCCCCUUUGAACUGGAAAAUGGCCCACUUCCCACUGGCGAAAACUCAUGAAAUUUGGCAGGACGACCGGGCCUGGUGAAAAAUUCGAUAUUCUGAAGUCGCCCAAACAAUAAAAUGCAAAAUGGCUCCAUAGCGCCCCCUAAGGUGGAAAUUCACACUAUUGACUGUCACGCCUGUACGCUUUGUCAUAUUGACACAAAAAUUGACACACAUAUGUAUCUCAAUAAGAUCUACAAAAAAGUCAGUGCGGCCGUAUCUGUCAAAAUUACGGUUAAAGGGUUAUUUCGCAUUUUUUGCCGAUCCGCACACAUUGGAAUUUCGCUAACUCCUCCGAAGGCUUUCGUUCCACCGGCACCACAUUUGCUCAGGCCAAUCUACACCCCGUGGCCAUUAAAAGUUAUCAAAAUCAUGACGCUGCACCCCAAGGUUUAGGUUCUAGGGGGCGCCAAAGAUAACACUAAAAUCCACAUAUUUAAAAGUCUUAUAACUUUUUAUUUUUGUCCUCACUGGCCUCCAAGUUUUCUAGGAUGAUGCAAUGUCCAGCCAUCAACA